rnacentral:rRNA from 1 species
GAUGAACGCUAGCUACAGGCUUAACACAUGCAAGUCGAGGGGUAACGAGAGGAAAGCUUGCUUUCCUUGUCGACGACCGGCGCACGGGUGAGUAACGCGUAUCCAACCUGCCCCCAACUAGGGAAUAACCUUGCGAAAGUAAGACUAAUACCCUAUAAUUUCCUCAGAUGUCAUCUGACGAGGAAUAAAGAUUUAUCGGUUGUGGAUGGGGAUGCGUCUGAUUAGCUUGUUGGCGGGGUAACGGCCCACCAAGGCAACGAUCAGUAGGGGUUAUGAGAGGGAGAUCACCCGCAUGGGAACUGAGACACAGUCCAAACUCGUACGGGAGGCAGCAGUGAGGAAUAUUGGUCAAUGGGCGGAAGCCUGAACCAGCCAAGUAGCGUGCAGGCUGACGGCCCUAUGGGUUGUAAACUGCUUUUAUACAGGAAUAAAGUUAGCCACGUGUGGUUAUUUGUAGGUACUUUAUGAAUAAGGACCGGCUAAUUCCGUGCCAGCAGCCGCCGUAA